AUGAGCCGAUAUCUAGCUUAGUAAAAAUUAUCCUUGUUGAAUACUUAAUGCGCAUAUUGUAUAUGUUUAAGAUAUAAAAGUAAACUAUAGCAAUUAAAUUCUAUUGAAGUUGAAAGAUAUCCCUGAGCUAUAGUUACCAGUCAUCAAUUCAUCCGAGAAACCAACUUGUUGCGAGCACGAUGUUUGUUAUUUUUUUUUUUUAAACCGCACACUUGAUUGUUUUUCCAGCCCUUUGUAGGAAAAAGUUACAGACGGAUCCCUUCCGCUAUGCGUAGGGACUCUAUUACUUUCAAACAUAAAAAAGUUCUGUCAAGGUUUUUCUAAUGUAAAUGUUAUGUUGUCCAAACAGUCCAAAGUUCGAAAAUAAAUUUCCGUUAAAAGAAUGUACAAUCUACUGGCACGUUGAUUUAUGUAAGGUAACCGGAAAACACAACAAACAUGGAAACCCAUUUACUCGCCCUUCCUAGAAUUUGGGAAAAUGAAUUUAGAUGAUCUCUAACUACAGGUAAAAGUAAAAGGUAGUAGAAGCCAAGUAAAUUUCAAAAUAUUUAAUCUAUUCUAAAUUAAGUUCUAUGGUUAGGUAAUCAUUUUCAUAGGCUUUUCAUUUCUUCAGAUACCUUAUGGUAGACGCCAUAGCAAUAUCCUCCAGAAAUUGAAAAACAAAACUAGAACUUUUUCUGGCUUCAGCGAUGUGGUUUUACUCACCAUUCGACCCUUUCUGUAAUUAUUUCCUUUUGCACGUAGUUUAAAGCGAUUCAUUUGUGAUAUUAAGUAAUUUGAUUCGCAAUUUAAAGUUAAUUUAUUUGAGGAAUCGAAGAACAGAAACAAAAAGCGUUGAAAAGGGAAUGAAUCCCCCACAAGGAUAAAAUGCGGAGUAAGUCGAUUUACCUGAAAGAAGAACAAAACUGCAAUCGAAUAUGGGAGGGAUUUAAUUUUAAUAGCUUCUCUACAGCGGAGUAGAAAGGGAGAGAGAACAAAUUAAAUGUAAUCGAAUUCAAGGACAAAUUUACGAAAAACAUAUCUCAUCCGUUCAAAGAGUAGAAGAGAAAUUGUAUUUUUUAACAUAAUAUGUACCCAAUAGCGGAAUAAGAAUCAUCCAAAAUGUUUAUUGUUUGUAACGUAGAAUUUAUUUCACUAUAAUAUCACCAUUCAAUAAAAAAAUCCAGAGCCCUA